ensembl:snoRNA small nucleolar RNA, H/ACA box 50A
AAGCACUGCCUUUGAACCUGAUAUGUCUUGUUUGUAGCUUCACGGGCCAAGAAACAGUGCUAGAGCAUAACGACUUGUUAUAACUGGGGCUCUUCAGCUCUCAACUGAACUGCUCUUUUAAAAACAAGGUACAUUU